GCCAGCGUGGCGCAGUGGUUUGAGUGUAGGACUAUGACUCUGGAGAACAGGGUUCAAAUCCCUGCUCAGCCA